rnacentral:rRNA from 1 species
AUUGAACGCUGGCGGCAUGCUUUACACAUGCAAGUCGAACGGUAACAGGCCUUCGGGUGCUGACGAGUGGCGAACGGGUGAGUAAUGCAUCGGAACGUGCCCAGAGGUGGGGGAUAACGCAGCGAAAGCUGUGCUAAUACCGCAUGUGAUCUGAGGAUGAAAGCGGGGGACCAGGCAGCAAUGUUUGGCCUCGCGCCUUUGGAGCGGCCGAUGUCAGAUUAGGUAGUUGGUGGGGUAAAGGCCUACCAAGCCGACGAUCUGUAGCUGGUCUGAGAGGACGACCAGCGACACUGGGACUGAGACACGGCCCAGACUCCGACGGGAGGCAGCAGUGGGGAAUUGUGGACAAUGGGCGCAAGCCUGAUCCAGCAAUGCCGCGUGCGGGAAGAAGGCCUUCGGGUUGUAAACCGCUUUUGUACGGAACGAAAAGGCUCUGGCUAAUACCUGGGGCUGAUGACGGUACCGUAAGAAUAAGCACCGGCUAACUACGUG